AUGUACAACUGUGUGAUUAUACCAAAAGCCACUGAAUGUACACUUUGGAAGGAUUUUAUGAUACAUGAAUACACCUCAAUAAAAUUUGCUUUAAAAAAAUCAAACCACGUUGCAAAGUUGAGCUGGAGCCUCUUGUGUGACACUGUACUCUGUUUAAUUAGAGAAGAAUUCAUAAAGGAAGUAGUAUUGUGGAGUUUUAAAGAUAAGAAAAAGAGUCAGUGGUGCAGGCUUAAAUGCAGUGUGCAAAGGCCUGGUUGGAGAUCUGAGAGCAGUGCAAACUGUGAGAAGGCGAGGCUGACCGAGGUGAAAGAGGGCGCAGACAGAAGACGAGGAAGAGACGUUUCCUGAUAAAAUAAUGAAGUGGCAAAAAUUCACGUCAAAAGCAUUAAAGUCACCUAAACUCCCUCUUUAGAAGGUAAAACUACCAAUUAUUAUUUUGAUUCUUUAUACUCUUUCUCUAUUACUGUUUCUCUCUCCUGGAUAGUGCUUCUGUGUACUGAACAAGGCUUGUCCCACUCUUGUCAUACAGUACAUGUUUAUUGCAUCAGUAGUAAUGAUCUAUUAUCCACACCUAGGCCUGGUCUCUGGUUUAAUGCCCUUUCACAAUUUCUUUUUUUUCUAUUUUGCAUUUUCAAGGAUGAUGCAAGACAUGAUAGUUAUCUGAUUCAAGACUUUUAAACACAUUUGAAAUAAGGCAAAUCCUAAAGACAAAUGACCAAGCACUGACUUGUCCUACUUCUGCUAGUUCCAGCUACUACAGAUUUAGGCUGAAGGGCGUUGAAAUUAUCAACUUAACUGGACUGCAUGACUGCCUGUCACUGCUGUCCUUAGUAGAAGUGACUUCAGGGUGCAAGCACUGGUAUCCUGGACUUCCUUUGCUAUGAUUUUCAUUGGUCUAUUUUCCUUGUUAUAUAGGCAUACAUCCUUUUAUUGUGAUUCUCUUUAUUGCACUUAUCAGAUAUUGUGUUUUUUACGAAUUGAAGGUUUGUAGCAACCCGCAACGAGCAAGUCUAUCGGCAUCAUUUUUCCAACAGUGUGAGCUUACUUCAUGCCUCUGUGUCACAUUUUAGUGAAGGCACAUACAUUUUUUUAAGACACAAUGCUAUUGCACACUUAAUAGACUAUAGUAUAGUGUAAACAUAACUUUUAUAUGCACUGGGAAACCAAAAAAAAUUGUGACUCGCUUUAUUGCAAUGUUUGCUUUAUUGCAGUGUUCCACAACCCAAAUUGGCAAUAUUUCUGCGGUAUGCCUGUACUAACUUUGUGGACCAGGCAGAAGGGUGCAAUCAUGGAUUACUCUAGUCCCUUUGAGAGAUGCCAUCUGGUUUGGCUGUCCUUUUCUCUGGUCAUUCAGGUGUCCCAGACUUAAGUUAUGGCCUCUUUGGAAGUUAUUCAUAUGUCCACUUACAGACUUCUGGUACACUUAGAGUUAUGCAAGGAGAAGCAUGACAUUUCCCAAAGGAUGUGGUUCCUGCCUCUCAGAACCAUCUGGAAAAAGGAAGGUUGUAAUUGGAUCAAUAAUCUACCCCAGCUGAGUCUCAGUUUCCUUAUUUGUAAAGUGUGAAGAUGAGGCAAAAUCACCUCUAAGUCCUUUUCUGCUUGAAUAUUCUAUGAACCAAUAGAGGCUAAGAACACACAUACACGGAAAUUUCUGUAAUUUUAAGAAUCGUCUAGAAAUGAGGCUCUGGUGCAGGCUAACAGGACUGAAAUGGAGAGUGUGCAAUCAAAUGGGAUUAAGGCUGAAUCCAGUUCUGCCAGUUCCUGGCUCUGUAACCUUUAGCAAAUUACAUCUUUCUACACCCUAGAUUUCUCAUCUUUAAAAUGGAAAUGCUGCUAUCUACAUCACAGGGUUGUUAUAUAUGGUACGUUUUAAGUAUUACAUGCAUAGCUGACAUGUAGUAGUCACUCCAUGAUGGUGACCGUCACUAUGAUGACAGUAAUCUUAUGUCUAUAUGGGUUUUUUAAAAAAAGAUUUAUUUAUUUACUUUAUUUUUCUUCAUUUAUCACCCCCUCCCCUCAAAUGGUUCUCUUGUCUGUCUGCUCAUUGUUUGCUUGCCUUCUCCAGGUGGCUCCGGGAACUGAACCCGGGACCUCCCACGUGAAAGGCAAGUGCCCAGUGGCCUGAGCCACAUCUGCUCUCCACAGGCUGCAGCAUCUGCUGGCUUGUGGCAUCUGCUUGUUCUGAAAGAGGUGGCAUCUAAUUCCUUGAGGUGGGGGCGGCAUCUAGCUCGUUUGUGGCAGGGGUGGCAUUUGCUCAUUUUCUUUAAGGAGGCACAAGAACCCGAACCCAGGACCUUCCAUGUGGUAGGCAGGUUCCCAACUGAUUGAGCUGCAUCCACUUCCCUCUAUAUGGUUUUUGGACUGGCUAAGCAUUUGGAAUAGUUUAGACCAGGGGUUCUUAACCUUAUUUGUUCCAUGGACCCCUUUGUCAGUCAGGUGAAAACCACGGAUCCCUUAAGUCCACACUAUACCGUGUAUUAAAUAAAUAUAUCACACCUGCAGCAACAUAUCCCCACAAAACUGUUUUUUUGAAUUUUAAUUCAAGCUCAUGGACCCCUUGUUAAGAACCCCU
rnacentral:lncRNA from 1 species